UACGUAGGGUGCGAGCGUUAAUCGGAAUUACUGGGCGUAAAGCGUGCGCAGGCGGUUCUAUAAGACAGAUGUGAAAUCCCCGGGCUCAACCUGGGAACUGCAUUUGUGACUGUAGAGCUGGAGUACGGUAGAGGGGGAUGGAAUUCCCGGUGUAGAGGUGAAAUUCGUAGAUAUCGAGAGGAACACCGGUGGCGAAGGCGGCCUUCUGGACAGUGACUGACGCUGAGACACGAAAGCGUGGGGAGCAAACAGG
rnacentral:rRNA from 1 species